AGUGAACGCUGGCGGUAGGCCUAACACAUGCAAGUCGAGCGGCAGCACGGUAAGAGCUUGCUCUUACGGGUGGCGAGUGGCGGACGGUUGAGGAAUACAUCGGAAUCUACUUUUUCUUGGGGGAGAACGUAGGGAAACUUACGCUAAUACCCCAUACGACCUACGGGUGAAAGCAUGGGAUCUUCGGACCUUGCGCGAUUGAAUGAGCCGAUGUCGGAUUAGCUAGUUGGCGGGGUAAAGGCCCACCAAGGCGACGAUCCGUAGCUGGUCUGAGAGGAUGAUCAGCCACACUGGAACUGAGACACGGUCCAGACUCCUACGGGAGGCAGCAGUGGGGAAUAUUGGACAAUGGGCGCAAGCCUGAUCCAGCCAUACCGCGUGGGUGAAGAAGGCCUUCGGGUUGUAAAGCACUUUUGUUGGGAAAGAAAAGCAGCAGGUUAAUACCCCGCUGUUCUGACGGUACCAAAAGAAUAAGCACCGGCUAACUUCGUG
rnacentral:rRNA from 1 species